GACGAACGCUGGCGGCGUGCCUAAUACAUGCAAGUCGAACGAACCGCGACUAGGUGCUUGCACUUGGUCAAGGUGAGUGGCGAACGGGUGAGUAACACGUGGGUAACCUACCUCAUAGCGGGGGAUAACAGUCGGAAACGACUGCUAAUACCGCAUAGGACAUAGGAUCACAUGAUCCAGUGAGGAAAGGUGGCGCAAGCUAUCGCUAAGAGAUGGACCCGCGGUGCAUUAGCUAGUUGGUAGGGUAAAGGCCUACCAAGGCGAUGAUGCAUAGCCGACCUGAGAGGGUGAUCGGCCACAUUGGGACUGAGACACGGCCCAAACUCCUACGGGAGGCAGCAGUAGGGAAUCUUCCGCAAUGGACGCAAGUCUGACGGAGCAACGCCGCGUGAGUGAAGAAGGUCUUCGGAUCGUAAAGCUCUGUUGUUAGAGAAGAACAGCGCAUAGAGUAACUGUUAUGCGUGUGACGGUAUCUAACCAGAAAGCCACGGCUAACUACGUG
rnacentral:rRNA from 1 species